rnacentral:rRNA from 1 species
ACUAGCCCGCUACCCAGAUAAUCUAAAACCAAUUCACUAACCCAAAACAUUUUUACGAGCUAAGUAUAGGAGAUAGAAAAGAACCC